GUCGGGCAUGUUGGCUCAUGCCUGUAAUCCCAGCACUUUGGGAGGCUGAGGCAGGUGGAUCACUUGAGGUCAGGAGUUCGGGACCAGCCUGGCCAACAUGGUGAAACCCUGUCUCUA
rfam:Gorilla gorilla gorilla genomic chromosome, chr10, whole genome shotgun sequence